CUGAAAACAAAAUUGCAUUAUUUUGGUUUAUGGCGAGUGACAUUUAUAAGGUUAAGGCAAAGUAUAAGCAAAUGAGCCAGCAAUCAUUAAAGAUCUACACAUUGCUAUACAAUGGGUUGUCAAGAAUGAGGCACUGUUCUGUGGGCGCAUAACCAUGCCAAGUUAUGUGUCAAUGAAUGAAGAUGACCGCCAGAAGCCCAUAGAUAACGUGAUGCAAAGAGAAGAACCAGAAGCAAGGGAGCCAUUCCUCUUUGUAUUUCAGCACAGAGAAGAUAUGGAGUUGUUUUUGCAGGCAUGUCUUGACCAACAGGGCCUCCAAGUUAAUGCCAUGUUCAACAAAUGACUGAUGGACAAGGGGUGGUGGUGUGUUUCUGUUUAAAUUAUUGAUAAUAAUAAAAAAAUAAGAUAAUUAACACCA